UUGUCCUAGUUACCAGCACGUUAUGGUAGGCACUCUAAGGAGACUGCCGGUGACAAACCGGAGGGAAGUGGGGAUGACGUCAAGUCAUCAUGGCCCUUACGGCCUGGGCUACACACGUGCUACAAUGGUCGGUACAAAGGGUUGCCAAGCCGCGAGGUGGAGCUAAUCCCAUAAAACCGAUCGUAGUCCGGAUCGCAGUCUGCAACUCGACUGCGUGAAGUCGGAAUCGCUAGUAAUCGUGAAUCAGAAUGUCACGGUGAAUACGUUCCCGGGCCUU
rnacentral:rRNA from 1 species